GACGAACGCUGGCGGCGUGCCUAAUACAUGCAAGUCGAGCGGAAUGAUGAAGAAGCUUGCUUCUUCUGAUUUUAGCGGCGGACGGGUGCGUAACACGUGGGCAACCUACCUUGUAGAUUGGGAUAACUCCGGGAAACCGGGGCUAAUACCGAAUAAUCCAUUUUGCUUCAUGGCGAGAUGUUGAAAGACGGUUUCGGCUGUCACUACAAGAUGGGCCCGCGGCGCAUUAGCUAGUUGGUAGGGUAAUGGCCUACCAAGGCGACGAUGCGUAGCCGACCUGAGAGGGUGAUCGGCCACACUGGGACUGAGACACGGCCCAGACUCCUACGGGAGGCAGCAGUAGGGAAUCUUCCACAAUGGACGAAAGUCUGAUGGAGCAACGCCGCGUGAGUGAAGAAGGUUUUCGGAUCGUAAAACUCUGUUGUAAGGGAAGAACACGUACGAGAGUAACUGCUCGUACCUUGACGGUACCUUAUUAGAAAGCCACGGCUAACUACGUG
rnacentral:rRNA from 1 species